CGGGGGGAGCAAGCGUUGUUCGGAUUUACUGGGCGUAAAGGGCGCGUAGGCGGCCACCGCAAGUCGGUUGUGAAAUCUCCGGGCUUAACCCGGAAAGGUCAACCGAUACUGCGGGGCUAGAGUGCAGAAGGGGCAACUGGAAUUCUCGGUGUAGCGGUGGAAUGCGUAGAUAUCGAGAGGAACACCUGCGGCGAAGGCGGGUUGCUGGGCUGACACUGACGCUGAGGCGCGAAAGCUAGGGGAGCGAACGGGAUUAGAUACCCCGGUAGUCCUAGCCUUAAACGAUGGAUGCUUGGUGUCUGGGGUUUUAUAGUCCCCGGGUGCCGUCGCUAACGCUUUAAGCAUCCCGCCUGGGGAGUACGGUCGCAAGGCUG
rnacentral:rRNA from 1 species